CGUAUGAUACGCGAGGAACCUUACCCGGGCUUGAAUUGCAGAGGAACAUAGUUGAAAGAUUAUGGCCGCAAGGUCUCUGUGAAGGUGCUGCAUGGUUGUCGUCAGCUCGUGCCGUGAGGUGUCGGCUUAAGUGCCAUAACGAGCGCAACCCUUAUCAUUAGUUACUAACAGGUCAUGCUGAGGACUCUAGUGAGACUGCCGUCGUAAGAUGUGAGGAAGGUGGGGGAUGACGUCAAAUCAGCACGGCCCUUACGUCCGGGGCUACACACGUGUUACAAUGGGGGGUACAGAGGGCAGCUACCGGGCGACCGGAUGCCAAUCCCAAAAAACCUCUCUCAGUUCGGAUCGAAGUCUGCAACCCGACUUCGUGAAGCUGGAUUCGCUAGUAAUCGCGCAUCAGCCACGGCGCGGUGAAUACGUUCCCGGGCCUU
rnacentral:rRNA from 1 species